rnacentral:tRNA from 1 species
CGCCGAGUAGGGGGCGGGUUCCGCUUCUUCGCGAGGGGCAGGGCAACCUGACGGCAGCCGGUUCUGAACCGGCUGCGGCGU